GCCUUUGCAGGCUAGCUCAGUCGGUAGAGCAUGAAACUCUUAAUCUCAGGGUCGUGGGUUCAAGCCCCAUGUUGGGCG